GGUUUCGGCUGUCACUUACAGAUGGACCCGCGGCGCAUUAGCUAGUUGGUGAGGUAACGGCUCACCAAGGCGACGAUGCGUAGCCGACCUGAGAGGGUGAUCGGCCACACUGGGACUGAGACACGGCCCAGACUCCUACGGGAGGCAGCAGUAGGGAAUCUUCCGCAAUGGACGAAAGUCUGACGGAGCAACGCCGCGUGAGUGAUGAAGGUUUUCGGAUCGUAAAGCUCUGUUGUUAGGGAAGAACAAGUGCAAGAGUAACUGCUUGCACCUUGACGGUACCUAACCAGAAAGCCACGGCUAACUACGUGCCAGCAGCCGCGGUAAUACGUAGGUGGCAAGCGUUGUCCGGAAUUAUUGGGCGUAAAGGGCUCGCAGGCGGUUUCUUAAGUCUGAUGUGAAAGCCCCCGGCUCAACCGGGGAGGGUCAUUGGAAACUGGGAAACUUGAGUGCAGAAGAGGAGAGUGGAAUUCCACGUGUAGCGGUGAAAUGCGUAGAGAUGUGGAGGAACACCAGUGGCGAAGGCGACUCUCUGGUCUGUAACUGACGCUGAGGAGCGAAAGCGUGGGGAGCGAACAGGAUUAGAUACCCUGGUAGUCCACGCCGUAAACGAUGAGUGCUAAGUGUUAGGGGGUUUCCGCCCCUUAGUGCUGCAGCUAACGCAUUAAGCACUCCGCCUGGGGAGUACGGUCGCAAGACUGAAACUCAAAGGAAUUGACGGGGGCCCGCACAAGCGGUGGAGCAUGUGGUUUAAUUCGAAGCAACGCGAAGAACCUUACCAGGUCUUGACAUCCUCUGACAACCCUAGAGAUAGGGCUUUCCCUUCGGGGACAGAGUGACAGGUGGUGCAUGGUUGUCGUCAGCUCGUGUCGUGAGAUGCUGGGUUAAGUCCCGCAACGAGCGCAACCCUUGAUCUUAGUUGCCAGCAUUCAGUUGGGCACUUUAAGGUGACUGCCGGUGACAAACCGGAGGAAGGUGGGGAUGACGUCAAAUCAUCAUGCCCCUUAUGACCUGGGCUACACACGUGCUACAAUGGACAGAACAAAGGGCUGCGAGACCGCAAGGUUUAGCCAAUCCCACAAAUCUGUUCUCAGUUCGGAUCGCAGUCUGCAACUCGACUGCGUGAAGCUGGAGGAGUUACAAAUCGCGGUUCACCAGUGAUAAGUAAAUAAGUUACAGGUCGUAUUCCACUUCUCCGGUCCCAUCUCGUGAGUGAAAAACGACCAAAAAUCCGGAGGUACCGGAGAGGUACCGCCCACCCAUGUAUAAGCAAAUAAUG
rnacentral:rRNA from 1 species